rnacentral:lncRNA from 1 species
AGGCGGAGGGUCGCUAGCACACCCGAAGGCCCCCUCCUGCGUAGGCCUAGGAGGAACGCCACCUGGUCCCACCUGGCCUGGAGAAAGGCCAUGUGGAGUCGGGUUUGAACCCGCCGAUAGUGGCUGCACAGAGGAGAAGUGAUCCCAUUAGUACCUGCGGGAUGGCCGUACAAGCGAAAACAUAAGACAGACUGCUAGAAACUCACCGGAGUCCCUAAAGGGCUAGGAACAGGGGUGGAGCGAGAACAAGGUGUGGAGCGAAGAUCACGAGAGGCAACGGAGGACAUCUGAAACCAGGGAUCUCUAGGCCCUAAAAGAAGCUGGCAAACUCUUUCAUCUGAUGCAUCGAGUGCUUCUGGAUAGCCUCCAACUGCCGCCGAUGGGCCUCUUGCUGGGCCACCAGCUGCUGCCGAUGGGCCUCCUCUUAGGCCGCCUGUUGGGC